rnacentral:rRNA from 1 species
UGCAGUCGAGCGCGGGAAGCGAGCUGAUCCCUUCGGGGUGACGCUCGUGGAACGAGCGGCGGACGGGUGAGUAACACGUGGGCAACCUGCCUGUAAGAUCGGGAUAACUCCGGGAAACCGGGGCUAAUACCGGGUAAUACUUUCUUUCGCAUGAAGGAAAGUUGAAAGAUGGCUUCUCGCUAUCACUUACAGAUGGGCCCGCGGCGCAUUAGCUAGUUGGUGAGGUAACGGCUCACCAAGGCGACGAUGCGUAGCCGACCUGAGAGGGUGAUCGGCCACACUGGGACUGAGACACGGCCCAGACUCCUACGGGAGGCAGCAGUAGGGAAUCUUCCGCAAUGGACGAAAGUCUGACGGAGCAACGCCGCGUGAACGAUGAAGGUCUUCGGAUCGUAAAGUUCUGUUGUUAGGGAAGAACAAGUACCGUGCGAAUAGAGCGGUACCUUGACGGUACCUAACGAGGAAGCCCCGGCUAACUACGUGCCAGCAGCCGCGGUAAUACGUAGGGGGCAAGCGUUGUCCGGAAUUAUUGGGCGUAAAGCGCGCGCAGGCGGUUCCUUAAGUCUGAUGUGAAAGCCCACGGCUCAACCGUGGAGGGUCAUUGGAAACUGGGGAACUUGAGGACAGAAGAGGAGAGUGGAAUUCCACGUGUAGCGGUGAAAUGCGUAGAUAUGUGGAGGAACACCAGUGGCGAAGGCGACUCUCUGGUCUGUUUCUGACGCUGAGGUGCGAAAGCGUGGGUAGCAAACAGGAUUAGAUACCCUGGUAGUCCACGCCGUAAACGAUGAGUGCUAGGUGUUAGGGGGCUUCCACCCCUUAGUGCUGA